GCCUUGGUGGAACAAUUGGCAGAUCGUCCCAGUCUAUAUUCCAAGGUGUUCUAAGGAGUCCGUGGGAAGGCGGAGGUUCGAAUCCUCCCCAAGGCA